CUCAGGAUUCCAUACAUAUGCUUUUCCAUCUUCACUUCCAGAAAAAAGAAAUGUACCACAUGGAGUUAAAGUGCUGUGAAUCUUCUCUCUGUAAUUUGUAGCACCUAUAUAUUUCUUUGUAGCCAAGAUUCUGAGAUCUGUAAUUCUCAGGGUACUGUCUUUGGCAUGGAUUAAUAAACGUCUGCCAUUUGGAUGCACCUCCAAAUGAUUUAUUGGAGUUCCUCUAAGAUCAUUUUCUUUUAUUUCUUUAUUAAUCCUCCAGUGUUGAAACAGGCAUUGAGAACUUCCUUUCACAGAUGUAUCCCAAACUAUUAUCAGUCCUGAACUAUCUCCUGAGAACAUG
rnacentral:lncRNA from 1 species